UCUUUAAACGGCCGCGGUAUCCUAACCGUGCAAAGGUAGCAUAAUCACUUGUCCCUUAAAUCGGGACUGGAAUGAAUGGCCAAAUGAGGACUAAACUGUCUCUUACGGAUUAGCCAAUGAAAUUGAUAACCCAGUACAAAAGCUGGGAUAGACCCAUAAGACGAGAAGACCCUGUGGAGCUUUAAAACCAAGUCCACCAAACAUGGUUCCUCGGUUUUUAGUUGGGGCGACUUCGGAGCAAAAUAAAACCUCCAAACAUAAAACCACUUUAUUAAGGUAAACAUACCGAAACAACAACAUAGACCCAGCAAUUUAACUCAUUUAAAUUGCCUGAUCAAUGAACCAAGUUACCCCAGGGAUAACAGCGCUAUCCCCUUCUAGAGUCCCUAUCGACAAGGGGGUUUACGACCUCGAUGUUGGAUCAGGACACCCCAAUGGUGCAGCCGCCAUUAAAGGUUCGUUUGUUCAACGAUUAAAGUCCUACGUGAUCUGAGUUC
rnacentral:rRNA from 1 species